rnacentral:rRNA from 1 species
UACGUAGGGGGCGAGCGUUGUCCGGAUUUAUUGGGCGUAAAGCGUCCGCAGGUGGUCAACCAAGUUUGGGGUGACAGUUCCCGGCUCAACUGGGAAAGUGCUUCGAAAACUGGCUGACUUGAGGGCUUGAGAGGAAAGCGGAAUUCCGGGUGGAGUGGUGAAAUGCGUAGAUAUCCGGAGGAACACCAAUGGCGUAGGCAGCUUUCUGGCAAGUACCUGACACUCAUGGACGAAAGCUAGGGGAGCAAACGGG